GACGAACGCUGGCGGCGUGCUUAACACAUGCAAGUCGAACGGUAAGGCCCUUCGGGGUACACGAGUGGCGAACGGGUGAGUAACACGUGGGUGAUCUGCCCUGCACUUCGGGAUAAGCCUGGGAAACUGGGUCUAAUACCGGAUAGGACCACUGCCUGCAUGGGGGGUGGUGGAAAGCUUUUGCGGUGUGGGAUGGGCCCGGGGCCUAUCAGCUUGUUGGUGGGGUGAUGGCCUACCAAGGCGACGACGGGUAGCCGGCCUGAGAGGGUGACCGGCCACACUGGGACUGAGAUACGGCCCAGACUCCUACGGGAGGCAGCAGUGGGGAAUUUUGGACAAUGGGCGCAAGCCUGAUCCAGCCAUUCCGCGUGCAGGAUGAAGGCCCUCGGGUUGUAAACCUCUUUCAGCACCGACGAAGCGCAAGUGACGGUAGGUGCAGAAGAAGGACCGGCCAACUACGUGCCAGCAGCCGCCGUAA
rnacentral:rRNA from 1 species